UCUGACUUUCAAAAAGCUCUACCAGGUACGCUGCAAGAGGACUUGCAUUGACUGCUAUGCAUCUCAUGUGACGCUCACACAUGCACAUUCCCACAGCCCAGGCUAAGGGCUUGUCUAGGCUUGGAGUUAUUCAGGAAUAGCCACUGCUCUUUAAAUACACACCUUACUAUAAUAUGAAUUAACUUUCAAAUGUAGACAAAUUCUAAAUGUCAUGCAACUGCAGCUUAAGACCUCCAGAAGCUUCUGUGGUGCCUUUUGGACCUGAGCAAGGAAGGAGCAGCCAUGAGGAGUAGGCCGGCAAUGGUGGAAGCAGGAAGUGGCAACAGUAGAGACGGAAGUUCAUAACAAGAAAGAUCUCAAACCAAAUCUCCAUCUCCAAGCAUCCUGAGCUUUGAAAAGUUUGUAUCCUGCUCUGAACUUUGGAAUUUGGGUCCACUCUGGAAAGGAAGGAUUUAAUACCCACUGUCUGGGCUGGCAUGCUAUGGCACUAUGAGAAAUAUUAUUGGCAGUAUGUUUAUCUUAUCAAGGGAAAGAUUAAGUGAUGUCAUCUACUGUCACAAUGGAAAUGUGGAAACAGACCCCUGAGCUCAGGUCUUGGUAGAGAAGGGGAGGACGAGUGUAAAAAUAUUACUUUGUGAGUUGCUGGGCUACCACAUGGUCCUGACCCCAAGGCAGCAGUUACAGCACUGAUUUCUGUCCUGCAUUGUUGGCUGACCACAGUGAAGUUUGACAUAGUCAUUAUUCCACACCCUCACUGAUGGUUUGGCAGCUCUGACAGUUUAUGAAUGUGAGGAUGGUGCCGUAUUGCAGUUCGGUGAACUGAAGGUGAAUGUACUCACCAACAGUGAUCCUAAUGGAUACACACACAAAUGGACAAAAUCAGGUUAGGAAGAAAUAUACCAAAUGUUCUCCAGUACCAAGACACAACAAGGUGCAAUAACCAUUAGAGUCAGCUCUUCCAAUAUGUCCUCUGCUGGCAACAGGAGUUUCACAUCCUGAUGUGAAAGGAUGAAGUAAAGCAGUUGAGAUAAGGCUACUUUGUUGCUCUCUGAUUCCCUUCUAAAUGUGCUUUUCCUUGCUUUGAUUUGGGUAGUGUGAUCACUAAUACUUUUUGGUAGUUUUCCAAAUGUGAAAUUUAACAAAUACUUAAUUCUCCUUUAAAAAAAAAACCACAACAAAAAACAGAAAUACAAAAAAGCAUCAGAAAAAGCAUAUUGAAAAUAUGAGUGAUUGAUUUUUUGCUUAACUUGCUCAACCUUCUAGCCUUUCAAGCAAUGUAAUCAAAUUUUAUCAAAUAUUAUAAACAAAUAAUUUUCUCCUGGAUAGAGAAUCUGUCCAUUCAGUCUGGUAACAAUACGAGUUUUCACAUUUUUAUAAAUCCCUGAGAAUAAUGGUUUCACACAUUUUUAUCAAGAUGCCCUUUGAGCACUGCUAUCUGA